rnacentral:rRNA from 1 species
UGGGGAAUAUUGCACAAUGGGCGCAAGCCUGAUGCAGCAACGCCGCGUGAACGAUGAAGGUCUUCGGAUCGUAAAGUUCUGUUGCAGGGGAAGAUAAUGACGGUACCUACAGAAGAAGCAACGGCUAAAUACGUGCCAGCAGCCGCGGUAAUACGUAUGUUGCGAGCGUUAUCCGGAAUUAUUGGGCUUAAAGGGCAUCUAGGCGGUAAGACAAGUUGAAGGUGAAAACCUGUGGCUCAACCAUAGGCUUGCCUACAAAACUGUUGAACUAGAGUACUGGAAAGGUGGGUGGAACUACACGAGUAGAGGUGAAAUUCGUAGAUAUGUGUAGGAAUGCCGAUGAUGAAGAUAACUCACUGGACAGAAACUGACGCUGAAGUGCGAAAGCUAGGGGAGCAAACAGG